rnacentral:rRNA from 1 species
CAGCCGCCGCGGUAACACGUAGGUGGCAAGCGUUAUCCGGAAUUAUUGGGCGUAAAGCGCGCGUAGGCGGUUUUUUAAGUCUGAUGUGAAAGCCCACGGCUCAACCGUGGAGGGUCAUUGGAAACUGGAAAACUUGAGUGCAGAAGAGGAAAGUGGAAUUCCAUGUGUAGCGGUGAAAUGCGCAGAGAUAUGGAGGAACACCAGUGGCGAAGGCGACUUUCUGGUCUGUAACUGACGCUGAUGUGCGAAAGCGUGGGGAUCAAACAGGAUUAGAUACCCCGGUAGUCCCUGUCUCUUAUAC